UACGUAGGCAGCGAGCGUUGUUCGGAAUUACUGGGCGUAAAGAGUGUGUAGGCGGUGCUCUAAGUUCGGUGUGAAAUCUCCUGGCUCAACUGGGAGGGUGCGCCGGAAACUGGAGUGCUUGAGCGUGGGAGAGGAAAGCGGAAUUCCUGGUGUAGCGGUGAAAUGCGUAGAUAUCAGGAGGAACACCUGUGGCGAAGGCGGCCCCCUGGGACGGUACUGACACUGAGACGCGAAAGCGUGGGGAGCCGAACAGG
rnacentral:rRNA from 1 species